UUUGUCUAAAUUACCGCUAUGAAUUUCACAGUGCGCGCUUUCAAAAGCCGUCUCAGGUGGCCCGAUGGAACGUGAUAGCGCCUCUGCAAACAGAUCCACGUCUGAAUAUAGACGGAGGGGGGGGAGAACCCCCCCCAAAUAAUAAUAAUAAUAACAAUAAUAAUAAAAAUAUAUGCCCCCCCCCCCCCAUCUCCCUCCCGAGAGCGGCAGCAAAAUAAGGCUGCGGCGGGAGCAGCGCCUUUUAUUGAAGAGGCAAAAAAAAAAACCCCCAACUUAGUUCCCCAACUCUUCCCGCCCCCUCCCUCGCGGAGUGUGAUUGUUUUGUCUGGAAAAAAACCCAAAGUAUAACAAGGGGAGAACAGUUAGUGCUGAUUUCCAUUUGCAUAAAUUUUCAUAUAUUUUGGUGAAAAUAAUAGACGGGCGGAGAGCGGGGCUCGGCGGAGUCAGUGCGAGGGAAAUGCGGAGCGGGGAGAGCCGCGCCGGAGCCGAGAAGGCGCGCUGUGCCCCCGUCACCCCAUUAAAACCCCAAAUGAACGCCCAACCGCAUCUCCUCGGUGCUGGGAGUGCGCUCGGGAAAGCCCCAUUGGAGCCCUGGAAACCGUACAGCCCGUAAACGUAGAGAGAUCCUGGCGGGACGGAGCCAAGAAAGUGAAAGAAAAAAAGAAAAAGAAAAAGAAAAAAGAAAGUAAUCGGGGAAAGCACGGCCCACGGGAGCAUGCACUUUUCACAUCAAGCGUCCGUGGGUUUUCAUUCGGAAAACGGAGUGAAGCCUCUGCGUCCACUGACCGCGCGGGGAAAGCUUUGAGAUAAUGACGUGAACAAAACUUUCCACCUCCCGCACUUGCGAGCAACGUUCCACACGGGGAAAACACAUGGCCAGGGCGCAGUUCCCAGCAGCGGAGCGGCCGCUGCCCCUCGACGCCCAGAGCGGGCGGCUUUGGAGCCCGGGAAGUUUCUCACCCCGACAGCGGCGGCUUCUCCCCCAGGCUGCCUCUGCCCCUCGCCUGGCACCGACCCGAGCCGGGGUGAGCGGAGGAGCUGAAAGCGAGCAACAAGUUCGCUGGGCACGGAGUUAUUUCGAUGGCUCCGCUGCAGAGGGCCGCGUUGGGGCCGUGCCCGAGGCGGUGCGCCGCUGCGCAGAACCUCCCUCGGCCUUCCAUUAUUAAAGGUCCGUUUCGCCCGACGGGACGGUUCUGCUAGACGGGCUUCUGGGAACGGAGAUCGGGGCCGGGAAAUGUAUUUAGCAGUCACUUCCUCGCAGAGGGAAGCGAUCAGCUAUCCGCCGAUAGAACCGUGGAGACCCACAGCCUAAUUAGCAUGUCCAAAUUAAAACGUUAAACGUAAAGACACCUCCCGCGUACUGCGCUGUGCGUAAAGCCCGGCCGCGCGGAGUGCGGCACUGCGCUGGGAUCCCGGUGCCACCCUUGGCCGAAGCGCACCGCUCCGCGCUGCCCGAACUCUCCCGUGCCGGAUCCGCUGUGCUCGUGGCUGCGGGAGGUUGGACGGCGCCGUCCGCCCUGGGGGAACAGGAAAACACGCACGUUACUCACGACGGCAACGAUAAGCACGAUGGGAUCGGUUACCCGUCCCUUUAUUGCGAAGGCUUCGCUCUGCACCUUCUUUUAUUGUUUUGGGUGUCACAAAGCGUUUCUGGUUUUGCGAUACGUUUGAGCAGUAACGCGCAAAGCCAGAGAGGCUCUAAAGCGGGAUCCGUCCAUCGCAGCUCCGUAACCGCGCAGUUUCCCGAGGUGCCGCUGCCGGGCUCACCCCACCCUGAGACGAAAGUUGCUCAAGGAUGGGAACGGUCUCCGUUGACCCUCUCGGUACACGGGAUGGAAACCCGGUGCUCCCUUCGACGUUAAAAUCGCGGGGCCGUGCUGUUACCCAGCAGCUCCUCGCACACGCACGUUUGUGUUUAUAGGAAUAAUUCUGCACGUAGGGACAUAAAAAGGGGGAUUUGCAAGUUGGAGUCUGUCUUAAAAGACGGUGAAAACCGUAGCCCCGCUUUUAUGAGACAUGAUAGCAUUCCCAUUUGCGUGCUCGCCAUCUCAAUGGCGUUUCACAUGUGAAAAAAAAAGGGGGGGGGGGGGGGGGAGAAAGAUCCAUAUGCACUGCAUAGAUUUUCUUUUACGCGCGCAGGGACGGGCAGUCUCGUAGUGGAUAAGGAGGAGAAGAAUUGUGGCGCACCAGAAAGCAGCCCGGGCGCAGUUUGGCGGCUCUGCUCUUAUUAUUACAAUUUUUGCCAUGUGAACUUGGCCAUUGUGUGAGGAGCGCGGUGCAGAUUGCGGCGGGUCGACCUGGAAGCUGCUCUUUUUGGCACCGCACACAAACACGCACACGCUGCCGGCUCCUCUCUCCGUGCGUGAAUGCGGCAGCCACGCUUUUACCCUGCUUUGUUUGUUUGUUUAUUUAUUUAUUUAUUUUUAUUUCAUCUCCCCGUAUUGGGAUUGAUUUAACCCGCUUUGGGGGGUUUACACUGCCGUGCGUUGAGUUUCUACGUGCGCGUUUCACACCCGCUCCCCCGAUCUAUCCAUUCUCUGCUGCGGGGUACUUCGAAGCGUUCGUGGCACGUUGCCCGCAGCUCAGCUCAACUCCACCACAGCCCGAAGUUAACGUUAUCCAUCGUCUCCCCCCCCCCGCCCCGCAGAGAAGGGGACCCCCCCCAGCCCGGCGGCAGCGGUGUGCAGGAGUGGAGGGAAGUGGGGAACGGGGGAUGGAGCCCGUGGUGAGAGAAGAGGGAGAGGGAAGGGAGAGAGGCGCACUCCGGGCACGCACAACACUGCACGCCUGGUUUUGCCCCCUUCUCUCUUCCCCCCCCCCCCCCCCCCCCCGCCUUCCUUCUUUAACCAGCGCCUGACAACGCGUUUAAGGCGUGUUAGCUGGACUCCCCGACCAGCACGCAGAGACGGAACUGCACCGUUUUUCAUCAGGAAAGAAAAGAGGGAG
ensembl:lncRNA